rnacentral:misc_RNA from 1 species
GUCAAAUUGAUUGGUCAGAUAGAAGUAACUGUUCUGUACACAUUGUUGUCCGAUAAUCUUAUAAGCGCAUAAUGUUUUUGUUUAUGAAAUUGUGGGUUGCACAAAACCCCAUAUGAGUUCUGUCCAUAUUUUUUCUGUGGAAGAAAUUUUUGGCUUUAUGAUGAUGGGGGUAUGCUGUUACAGCCAUCAGUUAUUAUUUUCCUGGAUAUUUAAGGAUUAGUUGCUGUUCGUUUUUGCUAAUUGUUCAUUCUUAUUGAUUCUUCUUAUUUUCAAGCAAGCUUCUGAAUGUUGUGAUCGUCUCAGUGAAUUUAUAGAACCUUGAGUUUGAUUGCUG